UACGUAGGGUGCGAGCGUUAUUCGGAUUCACUGGGCGUAAAGCGCACGCAGGCGGCCCAGUAAGUCGGACGUGAAAUCCCACGGCUCAACCGUGGAAUUGCGUUCGAUACUGCUGGGCUAGAGGACGGGAGAGGAAGGUGGAAUUCCCGGUGUAGCGGUGAAAUGCGCAGAUAUCGGGAGGAACACCAGUGGCGAAGGCGGCCUUCUGGCCCGUUCCUGACGCUCAGGUGCGAAAGCCAGGGGAGCAAACAGG
rnacentral:rRNA from 1 species